CACGUAGGAGGCGAGCGUUGUCCGGAAUCAUUGGGCGUAAAGGGUAUGUAGGCGGUCUCGUUUGUCUGGGGUGAAAGCCUUGAGCUUAACUCCAGAAGUGCCUUAGAAACGGCGAGACUGGAGUACUGGAGAGGGUCGUGGAAUUCCCGGUGUAGCGGUGAAAUGCGUAGAGAUCGGGAGGAACACCAGAGGCGAAGGCGGCGACCUGGACAGUUACUGACACUAAACUACGAAAGCGUGGGGAGCAAACAGG
rnacentral:rRNA from 1 species